UGUUUUGUAGUUUAGUUGGUUAAAGCGCUGGACUGGCGAUACAAAGUCAUGGGUUUGAAUCCUACCACUACAA
rnacentral:tRNA from 1 species